rnacentral:rRNA from 1 species
AGUGAACGCUGGCGGUAGGCCUAACACAUGCAAGUCGAACGGCAGCACAGUAAGAGCUUGCUCUUACGGGUGGCGAGUGGCGGGCGGGUGAGGAAUACAUCGGAAUCUACUUUUUCGUGGGGGAUAACGUAGGGAAACUUACGCUAAUACCGCAUACGACCUACGGGUGAAAGCAGGGGCUCUUCGGACCUUGCGCGGUUGAAUGAGCCGAUGUCGGAUUAGCUAGUUGGCGGGGUAAAGGCCCACCAAGGCGCCGAUCCGUAGCUGGUCUGAGAGGCUGAUCAGCCAGACGGGAACUGAGACACGGUCCAGACUCCUACGGGAGGCAGCAGUGGGGAAUAUUGGACAAUGGGCGCAAGCCUGAUCCAGCCAUACCGCGUGGGUGAAGAAGGCCUUCGGGUUGUAAAGCCCUUUUGUUGGGAAAGAAAAGCAGCAGGUUAAUACCCCGCUGUUCUGACGGUACCCAAAGAAUAAGCACCGGCUAACUUCGUG